UACGAAAGGGGGGCUAGCGUUGCUCGGAAUCACUGGGCGUAAAGGGUGCGUAGGCGGGUCUUUUAAGUCAGGGGUGAAAUCCUGGAGCUCAACUCCAGAACUGCCUUUGAUACUGAGGAUCUUGAGUACGGGAGAGGUGAGUGGAACUGCGAGUGUAGAGGUGAAAUUCGUAGAUAUUCGCAAGAACACCAGUGGCGAAGGCGGCUCACUGGCCCGUAACUGACGCUGGAGGCACGAAAGCGUGGGGAGCAACAGG
rnacentral:rRNA from 1 species